rnacentral:rRNA from 1 species
UACGUAGGGUGCGAGCGUUAAUCGGAAUUACUGGGCGUAAAGCGUGCGCAGGCGGUUCGUUGUGUCGGUGGUGAAAUCCCCGGGCUUAACCUGGGAAUGGCCAUGGAAACUGGCGAACUGGAGUGCGGCAGAGGGGGGUGGAAUUCCUGGUGUAGCGGUGAAAUGCGCAGAUAUCAGGAGGAACACCAAUGGCGAAGGCAGCUCGCUGGAACGGUACUGACGCUGAGGCGCGAAAGCGUGGGGAGCAAACAGG